rnacentral:lncRNA from 1 species
UGUACACGAUCUGUAAUAUUCUUACAUAUGUUUUGAUUGAUACUGGUGCCUCACAUUCUUUUAUACCAAACUUAAACGUAUUACCUGAAAGACUUGAUUAUGUGCUGUUUGUGUGUACUCUUGGGAGUAUGACACAACUAGGGAAGGUUAUAUACAGAGUCUGUAUCAUAGAUAUUGCAUAUAAAAAAUUGAGUGUGGACCUAAUAGAAAUUAACACGGG